ACGACGACGAAUUUUGGGUUCCUGGAGGAAUUUCGGGAUCUUCGAUUGCGGAUCCUUUUCUAAGCGAAUCCAGUUUACGAUCGGACGUAAAGACGCGUAGAACGAAUUCAUUCCUGAUUUUUCAUAUUAUUUUUUUAUAUCAGGAGGGAAAGCUUUUUUUCUGAUAAUUGAUCUACUUGAUCGACCGUUAUCGGUCUCACAUACUUUGUUGAUUGUGUGGUGGAGUGAAUUGAAUAAAAGACAAAAUCGAAGAUGCCACAGGCGGCACACGAAACGAAAAACAUUCUUACCACUUACUUGAUUCUCAUUUUACUUUUGAUAUCAUUAUGGUUACUUUACUCGGGGAUAUUUUAAUCCCUUAUAAUUAUUUUUUUUUUCUCAUAAUGGGUUGAAGUAUGAAAGACGAAUAAUGCGAGUUUCUCGAAGACUGGACAACUUUCUUCAUUGAUAUAAUCUGAGAAUUGUAAACAUCAAUUAAACGUUUCCGGAUUCUUCUUGAUCUCGCUAUCGGAAUAUGAUCACCGAUUUGCAAACACGCAAUAUUUAAUUUAAGUUUUAAUUAAGUUUUAAUAAUCGAAAUGAAAUAAUGUUAAGGAAAAGAAAAAAA